rnacentral:misc_RNA from 1 species
UUUACACAGUUCAUUUGGAAGGCAUUUUUCACUUGACACAAGUAAAUGUUAAUAGCAUCAACGGAAGCUGACAAAACAUUCGUAAUGUCAGAUGGGGUUGGGGCUGGGGCUGGCAGCAAUUAUGUUCAAUUGCAUUGCGCUUCCAUUGCCCAAUGGCCUUAUGCUGCAUUUAAUAAUUGCGCAUACGCAACGUUGCCCCUUAAAGGCGACGGCCUGCAACUUCAAGUGGAAGUUAUCUAUGGCCUGGGCGACACAGCAAACAAUGGCGCAACAGUCCAAGAUACACACAUUAGACAGAAUGGGAAUACAACAUCCGAGACUGUAAGAUUUUAAGACAUCUCUGUCUCUGUCGGCAUGAAAGCAAUGUGCCCCGCAUUGUAUCCAAGGAAGCCCUGUGGCGAUUCAUCUACCAACAGGACAGCGAAAAGCGACACAAACAGCGGCUCUAGUCAAAUUAACCUCCAUAGUUUAAUAUGUACUUGUAGUAGAGUCGACUCAGCCCUUGUGGAAUACCUCUUACAGAGCCAAGCGCCAUGACACAACACAUUGAUUGUGUGUCUCCCAUGAGUCUAGACCUUAUGAUAACCAUGGUUUCGUGAGCUGAUCGUUCGUAUCGUAUUGUUCAAAAGAUAUAGUGCUUAUAGCUUAUCUCCAAUUUGAUUUGAUUGUGAGAUCCUACAUA